rnacentral:lncRNA from 1 species
AUAGCCAUUUAUGUUGCUUCUAUUAGGUGUGGCUGACAAAGACGGGGGGCGAUUUGGGCACGCGAAAGUCCCUUAAAAUCGAGACAAAUCCUACGUUGGAACCAUCUCGAUGUUCUUCGCCAGCUUCGUCGCAUCGAGCCUGUGUAUAUACUAUUGGAUCUUGAAGCCCCAAGUCAUUUUCUGUUCCCAUGAUUAUUUAGCAAAUGCAGAAAACAUUGUCGAUUAUAUUAUAUGUAUAUUGUUGGGUAGUAGUUUUUCCCACUAGAUCUGAAUAUUAGGAAGGAUAUAUCUUGUAGCUGGUCAGAUUCAGAAUCAUGUCGUGAUUUCUUAAGGGCCUAAUGAUUGUUGUUGUUUUUUCCUUUCAAAAGUUAAAACUCCUAGCUGGUUAUCGUAACUAUCAUAAUUGUACAAGCAAGAUUAUCAGAAUAACUAAGCAACUAUUUCUUUAGAUUAAGUACAGAGUUUAGGGUGGUUUUUUUUUGCAGAUUUAUAGUGCCUAUUUUUUAGGAGAUUUAUAGUGCCUAAUUUGAAUCAACAAGGACAAUGAUAUUGCAAGGCUUGAAAUUUUAGACUCACUUUCUAUGCCAAGCUGGAAAAUUGACAUGCCUUAUGAUUAUAUAUGCAACCAGUAAUUUUUUUUGAAAUGCCAGUGGCAACGCAUCCGUUACAUGUUUUAAGACCUUCGGCAUGAAAUUUUCAUACUAACUACAUAUAUUGUUUGUGCAGGAUGGGUAUGAGUUGAGGAACCGGUUUUUAUUAUACUUGCUAAAACAUCGUGGGAAUAAAGCUAAAGGCAACUUUCCUGAUAUUGUGAAAGAAUUUCUUAAGCGCAUCAUCUAGGUAUUGAUAGUUUUGUAAUAGAUGUUUAGUUGGAACAUCACUCAGUUUUUUACAUGGACAUGUCGUUAAUCUUUCUUUUUGUUAUCAAUUUACAUUGCAAAAAUGGACUUCAAUUAUUCAAUAAUUGUGUUUCUGUUAUAUUGUUUGUACAUGUGAAAUUUAACAUGUAAGUCUUGCAAACUAUUUCAAGAGCCCGUGGCAACGCACGGGCACUCUACUAGUA